rnacentral:lncRNA from 1 species
AUCUCCACAACCCCCCCCGUACACAGUUGUAUAUCUUAGUUGCAGGUCCUUCUAGUUGUGGGAUGUGGGACGCCGCCUCAAUGUGGCUUGACGAGUGGCGCCAUGUCCGCGCCCAGGAUCCAAACCCUGGGCCGCCGCAGCGGAGCACGCGAACUUAACCACUCGGCCACAGAGCCGGCCCAGAGAUUUUCUUGAUGUUUAUAAAACUUAUUCCUAAACUUAACACAAAAGAAUUAGUAAUGAGUUUGGUUACUUCACAAUCAUUAUUCUUAUUUCAAUGCCUUCUUGGUAUUAUAGAGUCACUUAUCCAAUGAGCAGAUAUACCAUCUCCAUUGGGCUAAAGUUACUGGUUCUCAAAACACCCCCAUUGGAUCAUAAAUUAGAUCAGCGUUUCUCAAACUUUUUUGUGUCAUCACCCUUUUAUAUCCUUAAAAAUUAUUGAGAACCCCAAAGGGCUUUUAUUUAUACGUUAUAACUAUUGAUAUUCACUAUUAACAGAAAUUAAAUCUGAGAAAUUAAAGAAAAUUUUUUGAUUCAUUUAAAAAUAACAAUACUAAACCCAUUACAUGUUAACAUAAACAAUACAUUUUUAUGGGACAAGAAACCUAUUUUUUCUAAGGCAUAAAAAAUUCUUAAAAAAAUUAGUGAGAAAAGUGGCAUUGUUUUACAUUUUUGUAAAUCUUUUAAAUGUCUGCCUUAAUUAAAGAGAGUUGGACUCUCAUAUCUGCUUCUGCAUUCACACAGUGGUGAUAUCACAGGUCGUGUAACCUCUGGAAAACUCCACUGUACACUAGUGAGGGAAUGAGAGAGAAAAAGGCCAAAAAUUCAAUAGUAUUAUUAUAAAAAUAGUUUUGACCUCAUAAAUCCCUCUGAAAGGAACGGUUCAGUCACCCCCAGAUCACAUUUUGAGAACCACUGAGUUGGAUAAUAAUGAGUUAAAUAAUCAGGCCAUGACCUGGGUGCUACUUACCAGGGUAACUCUACCCGGGGUCACUCUACAAGUGACAGUGCUGAGCCGCCUUUCAUAGUUGAUUUGUCUGCUGUGGCAGUGGGGGCAAGUCUCCACCUUUUGUCAUGUGUCCCCUAGGCAUAUGUUAGGUUUCAUACUUAGUUAAUUUUUUUCAACUUUUUAUCUUAUGGUUUAGGAAGAUGGAAAUGUUUUUACUGCAUGCUUAGAACUCACUGAACUCUGCACUCUCUCAUCUAGAUUGUAAUAUUCCCCUUUGCUGUUUAUUUAGACUGUAUAUUGUUUUUGAAUUUUUCUUUUAUGGCUCUUAACUGUGAUUCUGCAGUGAGUUUAUUGCUAGGGCCUUAAGUCCUUCUCUCUUGCAUGUAAUAGUCAAGCAUCCAGACACUGCUACAUUGUCUGUAUUCAGUAGAAGCUGGAUAACCAUUUGUUAGAGAAGUUGUAGAAGUGCCUCCUUCGUUAGGCAGGAAAUUGGACUAGACCAAUGAUCUCAAAGGUGUCUUUCCAUUCCAAGUUUCUGUGCUGCUUCUCCUUUCUCCUUUCAACCCUGAAAAAUGGCAGGCUGCUCUGAGUACUACUGGAGAUCAGGCCGUCUGCUUGCCCUUCUGAUAUUCAGUCAGGGUUGUUAGAAAGUUAGAAUGUUACCAUGUUCAGGUAAAAAGACAUAAUUCCCUGGAUCCUUUGCAACUAGGGGUGACCUUGUGAGCUAGUUCUGACCAAUGAGAUGUAAGCAAAAGUCCACAGGGUGGGGGUUCUGAGAAAGUGAUUUUUUCCCUUAUAAAAAAGGAGCACACUUACAAGAAAUGUGUCUUUUUACUUCUUUCUGUCUGGAAUGUACAUGUAAUACCUGGAGAAAGGUAGCCCUCUUAUGACCAUGAAGAAGAAAGCCACAUGCUAAAGACUGAUGGACAGGAAGCUAAAGGAGGCUGAGGCCUUGAUGAUUCCCUCCAGUAAAUGCGUGAGGCUUAGUCUACCUCCUUUUGGACUUCUUGUUGCACGAGAAAAAGAAUCCUUCUUUAAGACACUGUAAUUGAGUUUCUGUUACGUGCAGAUUAAAUUUAUUCUUAAUUGUCUAACACAUUUGCUACUAGCUAGUUGUGGCUGUUAGUGCCUUCUCGUGGUACUUUAGACUGUCAUCUCACCGCUGGAGUAUUUUUGAAGAGGUUAAUACCAUGGUACAGUGCAAAGAGCGGCUUCAGAAUUAGCUGGAAGAAUCCUGGCUCUGUGUCACUAGCUGUGUGACCUCAGGCAAGUUACUUAAUCUCUUUGAGCCUAAAUCUUCUCAUCCAUGGAAAUGAAACUAAGAUUUAAUAUCUCCUGGUUGUUGUGAGGAUUAAAUGAGGUAACAAAAUCCCAGCACAGUGCCUUAGGUGUCAAAGGAGGUACUCAACAAAUGCACAUUCCAUUUCUCUGUUACAGAAGUUAAGCAGUUCCAUUCAAAAUAUUGCAGACCUAUCUCCUACUAGUUUGAAGUUGAAUAACAAAAAUGCAGCAGGAUUUUGGUAUGCUAAUGCUUAGGGAAAUAUUUAUACAAUAAGCCAGACAAGGUGGGGUUGCCUGUGACAACUGGAAGGCUGUGCAGAUGGGAAAGGUAGUGUCCUGAUGCUCUAUGGAAGCACUGAUGCUGACCUUUGGAGGAUAGGGGAUUAAUAAGAUGAUGAUGAUGAUUGUAGUAGCUAAUAUUUCUUAAGCACUUACUAUGUACUAGUCACUGUGGUGAGCACUUUAUAUUCAUUAUCUCAUUUUUAACACUCAAGAGCUAUCAAGUAGCUACUGUUAUUAUCUCCAGUUUGCAGACAAAGAAACGGAAGCUUAGAGAGGUUAGGUAAGUUAUCCAAAGUCACUCAGUGGUAGAGUUGGGACUAGUAUCCAGCUCUAACACCAAGGUCAUACUGGUGACCAUAGCCUUUUGAUGAGAUGUAAAUCAGUGAUGAGCUGAAGUUGGUUGUGAGAGCCUCUUACAUAUAUCUCUUCUCAAAUCUGUGUUCAGUGAAGUCACAGUGGUAGCUUGAAAUCAGCACUACAGAAACUGGCCAAUGGUACAAAUCAGAUCUCUCCCCCACUUCUCUGCCCUAAAAGCUGGCUGUUUUAGAAAAGCGAUGGAUCUGGAAACAGUGAACCUGGUGGAUAGCAGAUACUAAAGUAUUGAGUAAGUCAGGGCAUGGAGACAGCUUGAACAUUUAUCCUGAGUCAUUAGCCAGGCAAGAUUGACUCCUAUAAACAGGGGCCUAGAAGAAUGAUCCUUGGGGCUACAGAGAAAAGGCAGUGAAGCUGGAGUGAAGGUCUGAGGAUCUCAAACAAAAAGGAUGUAAUGUACAUUUUCCCAGUCAUUCUAAGAUCCUCUUUUCGAGUCCCUUCUCUAUGCCGGUACUUCUAUGUGUCACAUAUAGAAACAUAAAUAGAAUAGAAUCCCUUCUCUUGGUUAAACAAACAUAUACACAAAUAAUAAUAAUCUAAUGUGGGAAAAAGUAAUAAAAAGCUAUGCACAUAAAUUUUUAGUGAGGUUGGAAUUUAUCUGUCACAGCUACUGUGAGUAACCCUUUUAGUGCUUCCUGGAUCUUCUGAGGAGGAGUCUCCUUUAUUAUGAUGGACUCUGUUAAAAAUUAAAAGCUUAGGUUAUGCAUAUGCAGACACUGCUCUUGUGUUGUCUCAAGCCACAAUGUAAAUGUGCACAGCCGUAGAGACCAAUAGUACCCCCGUUAACAUCUAUUUGUCGAGUAAGUUGGUAAAGACGCCCAACUUUGGCUCUCUGCAGUUGACUUUCUUCCCCCUUUCAGUAGCCAUCAUGUGUCUUCAGAUUGUCAACUAGGAAAGGAUCUGAUAUGUCACUUAAUGUUUAUUGACCCACUAUGUGCCUGUCUCUACUGUGUACUGUUUCCAUCACUGUGUUACUUUGGCGCAUUUUUAGUUGUUUAGCUUCAACUUUAGAAUAAAAGGAUUUUUCUGUUGCUAAAGGGAUUUCAGCAAACUGGUAGAGAGAUUUUGGAGGUAAGAAAAGGGUAGUCUUUGCAAUCUAUGCCAUAUUAAAAAACAACUUAAGUAUUUUAGAGAAAAUAAAAAGACGAUGAGAAGAGGCUGGGAGGGAAGGAUUUUGGAAAUACUUUGCUAUUCAUCUACACAGACAGCCUUUUCUCUAUUCUGGAGGAAAAGCAAGGGAGAGGCUCAUCCAGUUAUUGGCAGUGAUGGAGACUAAUUCCUGGGAGCUACACUCAGAGUCAUUGGGCUUGUGUCCCACUGUCACCAAGUUCUUCCACAAUACCAGGCCCUCCUUGUCCAAGGACAGAGAAGAGCAGGAUUUCUCCCUCGAGAGCCUCCUCCACCUUCAGUUUGCGCUUUCUGCAAUCCUUGUGGAGUUCAGGCAAUGACACAAAAAAGCCGUGAGAGGAUCAAAGGCAUUCUUCCAAGGCUUUGGGGCAGCUCCUUCUGUGCAGAGGGCGUGAGGCCAUGGAAGCUGGGUGACAGCAGUCUAGAAGUUAAAGUAGGCCUCGAAAGAAAGAAAAGAAAACCUCUAGGUUUAAGCAGUUAUCUUUAACAGAAUCCCAGACACUUCCUUCUCUCAGCUGAAUCGACAGAGCACCUGUUGGCAUCAGGACAAACUGAGGGCUUAGGUACCGCGAGGUAAUUUAAUAACUAUUCAUCGACCUUAAACCACGUGCCAGGUGCUGCGACAUGAGCAUUACAUAUAUAAUUUCAUAUAAUCCUCACAACAACCCGGUGUGGUAAGUAUAGUUCCUGGUCUCAGUUUACAGAUGAGGAAAUUCAAAUACAGAGAUGAAAAAAUAUGUCUUGAGUCUCAAUAGUGGAAUCAAUAGGCGGAGAGGUUUUGAGGGCAGUGAAGGUGGCCUCUAAGGGAGUAUGGAAAUAGCGACAUUCCCGUUUACUUGACUCAUUCUUAGACAUAAGAGAAAUGACUUAUCGAGUCUUCGAUGUUCCUCUCUGUCCUUAGAGUUUCCUCUGACACUGUGUCCUGUCUGGAGUUGAGGGCCUGCGGUGGGCUUCUCUGACUUCUUAUCUUAGACUUACCAGAUUUCCCACACCUUAGACUUCUCAUCUCUCAAAGGGGCAGGUAGAGCAAGAUGGUCUAAAAUGGGACUUCGUGGUUGCAUCUCUAUCUUCGAAGACUAACUUCUAGCUGCAGUAGUAGUUCCUUCAAUUACAAACCACGGUUGUGUUAGUAGCAUCUGAGACUCUCUUAUCAAUAGAAAGCACAGACAUUUUCAUUUCACAUAAUGGUAGUUGUCAGUAUCUUCAAUACCAUUUACUCCCCUCACUGCUUUGAAUUUACAGUGGUUAUGAGACUCAUGGCUGGAUCUUGUUAUUUAACAGAUGUUAUUAUAUCACAAAAUUUUAAAUGUUUUGUUGUGGUACAAAUAUAUGCAAGUUGCCAUUUUAACCAUUUUUAAGUGUACAAUUCAGUGGCGUUAGUUACAUUCACACUGUUGUGCAACCAGCACCAGGUUUCUAAAAUAUUUUGAUGGCUUGUUUUAAUGUAAUAUGUUUUGCUGUGAUUCUGUUUGUUUAUAUUAUACAUUUAAUAGCAUUAGUCUCACCACCAGACUUCUGAAGGGCUCUGGGACACAAAAAGAUGAAGAAUCUCUGAUCAUAUAGGGUCUUUCCACUUUUGACAUACUAUGAUUACGUGAUUCUAAACCAAUCAAACUUUUAUUAAUAAAUGAGGAUCAUAAUGUUUCUCUACUAGACCAACCCUUGGGGCUCUCCACUUAACAAGCUUUCUGUAAAGCUGCAGGAUGCCCAGAAGGAGCCGACACUGAGCUUCCUUCGGCACACAUUCCUGUCCUGGAAAGACUCCAGCAUGUCUCGACUCCCUGCAGGCCCAGGCCCUGGGCUCACCUGGGCCCGGCUGGAGCCUCCCCCCGUGAGCCUACUGUGGAUGCUGCCGUCAGGAAGGGGCAGCGCUCCACUCCCGGUGCUCUGAAUCAGCCCGGGGAACUGGAGGCCAGGAGGUGGUCUGCUUCCCCUGGGGUGCUCUCAAGAUGGACCCUGCACAACUCCCCUGCAAAACGGUAUCAGACAUUUGGUAUAAUUGGGAAGGUGUCCAUUUAUUCAAUUCAUCCAUUUGUUCAGUCUUUUCAUCACUGUUUACUGAGGGCCUGUGUAUGUGCCAGGGAUACUUUUGUGAAAAAAAGACAAGUUUUUGCCCUCAGGGAGCUUACAUUCUAGAGGAGGGAAGGGAUAGACAAUAACCAAAUAAACGAGUCCAUUAUAUAGCGUGUGGUGAUGAUAAAUUUUGAGAGAAAUUGAAGCAGGGAAGGGAGACAGGGAGUGCUGUGAGGGGUGAGUAGGGUUGUAAUAAUUGCUAAGGCAGCCAGAGAGGCCUCAUUGAGAAGGUGACAUUUGAUUAAAGACUUGAAUAAGGUUGAGAGAGUGAGCAGUGCAGACAUUUCGGCCAGACAUGUCAGGCAAAGGGACCAGUGCAAAGGCCCUGAGGCAGGAGCACACCUGGCAUGUUUAAGAAACACCAAGGAGGCCAGUGUGGCUGGAGCAGAGGAGUGAGGUGGAGAUGAAAGACUGGUUACAGGGGUCAGCUCCUGAAGGGUCUUUAGGGCACUGGGCUUUUACUCUGAGUAAGAUGGGAAGCUAUUGGAGGGUUUCAAGUACUGAAUGAAAAUAUCUGCGUUAAUUUCUUACAGGAUCAGUAGGAAGAUAACGUCCGAAAAGGUAGAGGCCAGUAGAAGGAUGCUGCAAUAAUUCCAGGAGAGGGGAUGGAUGGUGGCUCAGACCAGGAUGGUGAUGGUGAAAGGGGCAAGAAAUGGUCAGAUUCUGCAUAUAUUUAAAGGUCUAGCUGAAAGGAUUUGCUAAUGGAUGGGAUUCGGGCUGUGAAAGAAAGAGAGGAAGAAAGGAUGAUUGCAAGCUUUGUGACUUGAGCAAUGGGAAGGAUGGAGGGAGUUAUUUGAUGGGCGUCCACUUUAUGUCAGGCAAAAGUUUAGCUCCAGGCAGACAGUAAGUGAAAGGAGCACAGUCCCUGGCUUCGAGCAGCUUCCAG